rnacentral:rRNA from 1 species
UACGGAGGGAGCUAGCGUUGUUCGGAAUUACUGGGCGUAAAGCGCGCGUAGGCGGCUUUGUAAGUUAGAGGUGAAAGCCCGGGGCUCAACCCCGGAACUGCCUUUAAGACUGCAUCGCUUGAAUCCGGGAGAGGUGAGUGGAAUUCCGAGUGUAGAGGUGAAAUUCGUAGAUAUUCGGAAGAACACCAGUGGCGAAGGCGGCUCACUGGACCGGUAUUGACGCCGAUGUGCGAAAGCGUGGGGAGCAAACAGG